CGUACACUCCUGCGGGAGGCAGCAGUGGGGAAUAUUGGACAAUGGGCGCAAGCCUGAUCCAGUCAUGCCGCGUGAGUGAUGAAGGCCCUAGGGUUGUAAAGCUCUUUCACCGGUGAAGAUAAUGACGGUAACCGGAGAAGAAGCCCCGGCUAACUUCGUGCCAGCAGCCGCGGUAAUACGAAGGGGGCUAGCGUUGUUCGGAUUUACUGGGCGUAAAGCGCACGUAGGCGGACUAUUAAGUCAGGGGUGAAAUCCCGGGGCUCAACCCCGGAACUGCCUUUGAUACUGGUAGUCUUGAGUUCGAGAGAGGUGAGUGGAAUUCCGAGUGUAGAGGUGAAAUUCGUAGAUAUUCGGAGGAACACCAGUGGCGAAGGCGGCUCACUGGCUCGAUACUGACGCUGAGGUGCGAAAGCGUGGGGAGCAAACAGGAUUAGAUACCCCAGUAGUCCCAUGAU
rnacentral:rRNA from 1 species